rnacentral:tRNA from 1 species
AAGGACUUAGCUUAAUUAAAGUAGUUGAUUUGCAUUCAAUUGAUGUAAGGUGUAUCCUUGCAGUCCUUA